rnacentral:lncRNA from 1 species
GGAAGUUGUGAUUCGGGGACAAGGUCGAUGGCAUGUUGAAUGUCUCUCAUGGGUGGUAGCUCGUUUGGGAGGUCAUCUGGCAUGACAUCAGAGAAUUCAUUGAGGAGUUGAUGUAGAGGUUCAGGUUGUUGAUAGGAAGGGGCCGCAGAUAUCUCUUUGAUCACGAGAGCAAAUACAACUCCUGUCUCCAAACUUUCUUUCUCAAAUUCUCCAUAAGAUAAUAGAGCCAACCGAUGACCUGACACCUUGCCUGUCUGCGAUGGAGAGGAGGUGGUAAUAUUAGUCUUGGUAGGUUUGAUCGCAAGAUUGGCUGGGCGUAACGUAAUACUUUUGCCUUCAUGUUGAAAAGUGUAUGUGUUUUCACGACCACAAUUC